rnacentral:rRNA from 1 species
GAUGAACGCUGGCGGCGUGCCUAAUACAUGCAAGUCGAGCGAACAGACGAGGAGCUUGCUCCUCUGACGUUAGCGGCGGACGGGUGAGUAACACGUGGAUAACCUACCUAUAAGACUGGGAUAACUUCGGGAAACCGGAGCUAAUACCGGAUAAUAUAUUGAACCGCAUGGUUCAAUAGUGAAAGACGGAUUUGCUGUCACUUAUAGAUGGAUCCGCGCCGCAUUAGCUAGUUGGUAAGGUAACGGCUUACCAAGGCAACGAUGCGUAGCCGACCUGAGAGGGUGAUCGGCCACACUGGAACUGAGACACGGUCCAGACUCCUACGGGAGGCAGCAGUAGGGAAUCUUCCGCAAUGGGCGAAAGCUUGACGGAGCAACGCCGCGUGAGUGAUGAAGGUCUUCGGAUCGUAAAACUCUGUUAUUAGGGAAGAACAAAUGUGUAAGUAACUACGCACGUCUUGACGGUACCUAAUCAGAAAGCCACGGCUAACUACGUG